UAGGGAAUCUUCCGCAAUGGACGCAAGUCUGACGGAGCAACGCCGCGUGAGUGAAGAAGGAUUUCGGUUCGUAAAACUCUGUUGUUAGAGAAGAACAGCGCAUAGAGUAACUGUUAUGCGUGUGACGGUAUCUAACCAGAAAGCCACGGCUAACUACGUGCCAGCAGCCGCGGUAAUACGUAGGUGGCAAGCGUUGUCCGGAUUUAUUGGGCGUAAAGCGAGCGCAGGCGGUCAAUUAAGUCUGAUGUGAAAGCCCCCGGUUCAACCGGGGAGGGUCAUUGGAAACUGGAUGACUUGAGUGCAGAAGAGGAGAGUGGAAUUCCAUGUGUAGCGGUGAAAUGCGUAGAUAUAUGGAGGAACACCAGUGGCGAAGGCGACUCUCUGGUCUGUAACUGACGCUGAGGUUCGAAAGCGUGGGUAGCAAACAGG
rnacentral:rRNA from 1 species